AUUUCUACAACCUUUUGAUAAUUAUUCUCAACGUUUAGCCGCAUAAGGGCUAAAACCAACAACAACGCUUGGCCACUUCUAUCCCAAACAGUGCGAACUCUUUAAUAUCCAUUACUACUGAAAGCAGCAAGGCCCAUCGUCGAACAAAGCCGAAGUCUGCUUCUCUAAAAUUUUGGUAGGGCUUAUCGUAAAGCCGUCAUCGUUAACCAUCCUAAUAAGGGUGGGAUCUGUAAAGGGAGAGAAACAAGUUGAAGAAAAAAAUAUUGACUCUAAGAGUUGUAAAAGAAAAGAAAGAAAGAAAGAAAAAGUUUCUCAAGAAUAUACUAUGCAGUUUUUCUGAAAAAGUUUAGCAGGUUUGAGAACUUUUCAUUGUGUUCAAAAUGGAUAUAGGAAUCUGGUUUAUGGAAAGUGAUUCAAAUAUUUUAGUCGACUGCAUUGUGAAUAACAGUGAGUUUUCAUGGAGCAAAUCUAUGCUAGAAGUAAUGGACAAUUGGAUACUACCUCAAUGCUAUAGGGAAGGGAAUAGAAUUGCAGAUUAUCUUGCUAAUUGGGACUUGAACUGCUUAGAACUUACAUUGAUAUCCAACUUCCAGUUGCUUCCAAUUGAGGUUAAAGGGGAACUAAAUGUUGACAAAAUGCAGUUACAAUCUUUAGAACUAAACUCAUAAAAAACUUCUUAUAUGUGGAUAGGAACUUGUAUAGAGUUUUCUCUUUUUUUGUUGUGGAAGGUAACUGAGGAACUUGUAUAGAAUUUAUCCUUUUGAUGAUGUCACGUGACAGGAUUUUCUCUUUGUAUUGAAGAA